GGCUAAAACACAUAAAAAAGGGAAAGGAAUCGUACACAGCUGCAAAACAGACACGAAAACAUGAGAAUGACCUAACCAAAGCAAUGGCGCAGCCACCACCCCCCAGGAAAUAAUAUAACAGUAUAGAACAGAGAAGGACUUCUAAAAAACAAACAGAGGAAACAGAAAACGAAGGAAUAAAACAAUAAAAAUAACGAAAAUUGACCCUGUUAAUGUAACAAAAGUCCAAAAAAAUCAAAAUAUACGAAGAAACAAAAAGAAAAAGAAAAAUAAAAAGACUAGAGAGGAAACCGUAGAAAUGAUGAAGGCUAGAAACUCAUAAAAAAGGGGAGAAGGAAACAUGCACAACUACAAAACAGACACGAAAAUACAAA